UAACUCAUUGACUCUGUUUUCAAUCUUGAUUUGUUUUUGGGAUCAUUGAUUUGGAAGGAACCUCCUGGGUCAUUGCAUCCACUCCCCUUUUAUCAUGAGUGGCAUGAAAAAAACAUGCAAGUUGGCAACACUGCACUGAAGAGUCUAACAGCUCUAUCCUAAAGAAAAGCUGCUGUCUGUUCCACUUGCAAGUUCUCCUGUGGCACCUGAUCUCAUAGGCACGGAUGUGGAAUUAGGGGAAUACAAAGGCAAAAAGAACAACAUAAUAAAGAAGUCAUGAAGAAAGCUUUGUGAAGAGCCAAGUGAUUCAAGAAACAGACAGGUGGAACGUUUCUCAUUUCCUGCAGUCCCAUCUCAAUAUACUUCAACAAGUGAACCGUAUUUUACCAUCAGCAUCUCCCAUUCAAGUACAGCAGUUUGCUCUGAUCAGUGAUCCUUUGCCUUUUAUUGAGCUAAGCCUAGAGGAUGACAAAAAGGAAGGAAAAAGCAAAGAAUUUCUCCAGGGACAAAUCAUCUUAAAAUACUCCAGUGUGGAACUAGCUUGCAUGUUGAAGAAGACUGCACACUUUUAUCUCCUUUCACGAACUUGGAUAGAAAGUGCAGGAAGGACCUCAAAGGAUAAAGGAGAUGGAAAAUGUUAAGGAGAAAUUAGAUUUUGGGUUUCUUGUGGAUACCAGCUUGAAAGACUGUUUUUAGAUUAAUAAAUUUAAAGACUUUGUUAUUAAAUGCCAGCUCCUUAAUUUUGCCUGUUUCUUAAAUCACAUAUUCACAUCAAAAGGUACGGUCAUUUCUGUGAGUUUUAUGAACAGAGGAAAUUCAGACUGCAUAGCAAAAUAAUUGUCAGCUAUUGCUAUCUUAUCUGUAUGGCUCUAAUCCCAAAGCCCUUACUGAGGUAAGCUCUCAUUGACUCUGGUGAUUUCAUGGAUACAAGGAUAAUAAUAAUCUAAAUUGUGUUACGUGGGUCAUUACAUUCUGGCCAGCUGGAGGGGAGAGAACUCUGCAUUAACUAGUUAUUCUUUUUCAUUUCCCACCCCUUUGUUGUUACACACUUGCUGAAGCAUGACGAUGCCAAUGCAAAACAAACCUUACUGGUUUAUGUAUAUACGUGGUGCGAUAUAAACUGCAUAUGCCCUGGGCCUUAAAUUUUUAACAUAGAAUUGCAUCCAGUUUUCCUGAGAUAGUUUUAAAAAUACUGUAUAAGAGUUAAUUUCUUGAAUUGUGGGUACAUGUCAGAUCUGAUAAUGAAUGACUCAUUCCUGGAGAAGAGACAGGUUCUCAAUUAAUAAUAGUUUACAAUUCUGUAAUGUGCUUUGAAUGUUCUGGAGGACAGAUAUACAAAACUGUAAAGGUAAAACUCUGGCUUUUAAAUAUUGGACUGUAAUGCAUUAAGUAGCCUAAGGACGUUUAGACCUAGCUGCUGUAGAAAAUAUUUGCUGGUAUAUCUAUACUGUCCUAGGAUACAUACAGUUUAUGCCUGCAAAACAGUGCUUUUACUAGCAUGACUUCUUUCUACUUUCUCAAAUAAAAUAAACUGU